GAUGAAGAACGUAGCGAAAUGCGAUAAGUAAUGUGAAUUGCAGAAUUCAGUGAAUCAUCGAAUCUUUGAACGCACAUUGCGCCAGCCAGCAGUCUGGCGGGCAUGCCUGUUCGAGCGUCAUUUCAACCAUCAAGCCCCCAGGGGCUUGUGCUGGGGCCCUGCGGCUGCCCGCAGGCCCUGAAAACCAGUGGCGGGCUCGCUAGUCACACCGAGCGCAGUAGCACAUCUCGCUCAGGGCGUGCGGCGGGCUCCUGCCGUGAAACCCCCCACUGUAACCCCAAAGGUUGACCUCGGAUCAGGUAGGAAUACCCGCUGAACUUAAGCAUAUCAAUAAGCGGAGGA
rnacentral:misc_RNA from 1 species